rnacentral:rRNA from 1 species
UACGAAGGGAGCUAGCGUUGUUCGGAAUUACUGGGCGUAAAGGGCGCGUAGGCGGAAUGGCAAGUCGGUCGUGAAAUCCUUCGGCUCAACCGAAGAACGUCGAUCGAAACUGCCGUUCUUGAGGAUUGCAGAGGAGACUGGAAUUCCCGGUGUAGCGGUGAAAUGUGUAGAGAUCGGGAGGAACGCCGGUGGCGAAGGCGGGUCUCUGGGCAAUUCCUGACGCUGAGGCGCGAAAGCGUGGGGAGCAAACGGG